GACGAACGCUGGCGGCGUGCUUAACACAUGCAAGUCGAGCGGUAAGGCCCUUUCGGGGGUACACGAGCGGCGAACGGGUGAGUAACACGUGGGUGACCUGCCCUCAGCUCUGGGAUAAGCCUGGGAAACCGGGUCUAAUACCGGAUAUGACUCCAUGACGCAUGUUGUGGGGUGGAAAGCCUUGUGCGGCUGAGGAUGGGCCCGCGGCCUAUCAGCUUGUUGGUGGGGUGANGGCCUACCAAGGCGACGACGGGUAGCCGGCCUGAGAGGGCGACCGGCCACACUGGGACUGAGACACGGCCCAGACUCCUACGGGAGGCAGCAGUGGGGAAUCUUGCGCAAUGGGCGAAAGCCUGACGCAGCGACGCCGCGUGAGGGAUGACGGCCUCGGUUGUAACGU
rnacentral:rRNA from 1 species